rnacentral:rRNA from 1 species
UACGUAGGGUGCAAGCGUUAAUCGGAAUUACUGGGCGUAAAGCGUGCGCAGGCGGCUUUGCAAGACAGAUGUGAAAUCCCCGGGCUCAACCUGGGAACUGCAUUUGUGACUGCAAGGCUAGAGUGUGGCAGAGGGGGGGUGGAAUUCCACGUGUAGCAGUGAAAUGCGUAGAGAUGUGGAGGAACACCGAUGGCGAAGGCAGCCUCCUGGGUUAACACUGACGCUCAGGCACGAAAGCGUGGGGAGCGAACAG